rnacentral:other from 1 species
AUUAACCCGAUGGCGAGUGAUUUUCGAACCAAUGCUAACAGCAUGGGAAGCAUCCUGAAUUCGGCGUUGUGCAAGCCCGCCCUGAGUGGGAAGCCUGAACCGAUUCAUCCGCCCCCCACUUGAACCUCAGGGUUCAAAAUCCAUGCCUGUCGGGCUACCU